rnacentral:lncRNA from 1 species
UGUGUACCCGCUCCCAAGGCUGCCCUGGCCUGUGGAGCAGCAUCUCAGCAGAGUGGCAGGAUGCGAGGGGCUGAGGGCAGAGGAAGUCAGGUCAGCCUUGGUGCGUCUUUGGAGAGCUGCUUCUCAGCCUGGACCCCCGUGAGAACACCCACCAAAUGCUGCCAGGAUAGGUACUGAGGACAAAUCAGUUCUCUGUGACCAGACAUGAGAAGGUUGCCAAUGGGCUGUUGGGCGACCAAGGCCUUCCCGGAGUCUUCGUCCUCUAUGAGCUCUCGCCCAUGAUGGUGAAGCUGACGGAGAAGCACAGGUCCUUCACCCACUUCCUGACAGGUGUGUGCGCCAUCAUUGGGGGCAUGUUCACAGUGGCUGGACUCAUCGAUUCGCUCAUC